GUGAAAGCUUUAUUACUCCGUACCACACCGAGCACACACAGGCCGUCAAUACCCCAUCCAACCCCAAGAUUUGAAAAAUGGCAGAAAAAAAAAAGAAACUCACAAGAGUGUUACAAAAUCUUGUAUUAAUCAUCUCACUCACUUUCAAUAUAAUGAUAUGAAAUAUAGCCGUGACUUUUGGUGAGACUGAGGAGAUGGGUAAUAAAUACAUUUUGAAAUCACAAGGGUGAUCUUACACUUUAACAACAUUUGGAAACUGUACAUGAGCAAAUAACUGCAUUGCAACCGUCAGACUGUUUGCAUUGAAUCCUUCGUAUACCUGGAAGCUUAAAUACAUACAACAAACGUGCCAACUUCAGAAAAGACAAAGUUUAGUUUUUCUUAAAAAAUAUGCAUUGCAUGGCGACAUUAACUAACCAAAAAUAGUUCUCUCUGCACUCUUUUUAUACAGAAAAAAAAAACAAAAAAAACCAGGCCCCAAAUCUUGCAUGCUUUUUACAACGAAAGUAUUCAGGACUUUGCGUGCAAAAAAAAUAAUAAAAAAAAAUUAGCUGAAGGCAAUUUUUUUCUUCUUUUUGAAAAGGAUACUUCCAAUAUCUGCCUAAAUACACACAGGGGGCUCCACGAACCAUGUGAGUGCCGGGCGUGUAACUCAUUGAGACUCCGUCCAUGCACAGCCCUUGGUCUCAAAACGUCAAGGGAGGAAGAUUUUUAUUUUUCGGUUAAAGGUCCUAUUUUCUCUCUAUUCCUCCCAGAGGAAUACACAUUUGCCCUCAACCAUUUUGUAGCCAGAGGGAUCUGACAAAAACAGAAGCCCCUAUCUGGCAACAACUGGAAGCAAAGAAAUACAAAAAAAAUAAAAAUGUGCAUUGCAAACUCUGACAAUUUUUUUUAUAUAUUUGUUUCCUACAAAAUUAGUGUUCUUGGAACGAUGUGCAAAUUUCAGACUUUUUGCAUGACUCAUGGACACAUUCACACAAAAAGAAAAGGCGAGCCAGGUGUCCUUGCAGUAAACGUACCAAUCCAGAGAUAAUGCGUCUUUAGAUGUUAAACUGUGAGCUGUGAUAGGCCGGCAGCAGAGAGAUGGGAUUCAGGCAAAAAUAGGCAACGUUGCCGGUUUGGUCUAAAUUUGACAAUUCCGCCACUGGCUUACAGUUUCAUGAUUUAGACAACACAGAGCGGCUCUCGUGGGUUAUUUAACCCCUUAAGGACCAAACUUCUGGAAUAAAAGGCAAUCAUAACAUGUCACACGUCAUGUGUCCUUAAGGGGUUAAAAGCAAAAAGGGCUAACUGUACAUUAAAAGACAGCUUUAAUGCUGCUGAACUACAACCCCCAUGAGUCUCUGCCAGCAACCAGCAGCCGCUGUUACAAGUCAAGUGCCGCAGUACAGUAAUAAGGGCAAUUACUGACUAUUCACCUUUGAGGUAUCACGGCAUGACAAUCCUACUCUGAGACUGCAGCUCCUAUCAUGCUCAUCCAGCUUUGUGCAACAAACGCAAGAUCUCAUUCCAAUUAAAAAGGACCCAGUGAUGGAUUCUGUGUAUAAUUAUUUAAUUCUCUUCCAUAAAGUGUGUGAGGAUACAGGAAAUUCUUCAACUGGUUUAGAAGUGAAGUUCAGCUGACUAUUGAAACAAAAGUCUCAUUAUCCUCAGCAGUUUUGGGUCCAGAUGUGAAACAAAUCAGAUGGCAGCUUAGUUUGCAGAGCCUGCAGUCUCAGACCAAGUUCGCAUUAACCCCAUAAGUGCCAGGAGGGUUGACACAUAUCCCUUUAGAACAGCAAGAGAUCCACUUUGUGCUGACGUCAAUUCCCAGUUACUUUGUAACAGGACAGCUCAAGGCUCAAGGCCAAUACUUAUCAUAUAAUACUGAAUAUAGCUCCCAUCAUCCUAAACCGUGCUGUGCCUGGGUUGCAUAGGGGACAAAAGGCAGCACUAACUGCCUGUCCUGCAUUUUCAAUGUCUGGCUUAUUGACCCACCGUGCAGGAAUGAAGAGCCACAAUUUAGGAAGUGCUCCAUUUAAAAGGCCAAGGGGAAACAGACUACGUUUCUUAUCCUGGAUAAUGAGAAAUGUAGUCAAACCUCACAUCAAUACCAGACACUGCUUCCUUUAAAAGAACUGCCUUCCAGGGGUGGUGGUGGGUGGGGGAGGGCAAUCCCCCCUUUUAUUCACCCCAUGCCCCCUGGAAUAAUUUGAGGAGAGCAAGCGAGGAGUGUCACCAAGCCCCGGAGAGUGCAGUGCUCCAGCAGGGAGCACUCCAUAAUUGAAACCCUAGUUAUUCAAUGAAAUGCCAGCAAUCUACCUAAAAAAAAAGCACAAAGGUUGAAUUUUUGGUAAAUCUCCAAACAGACCCACGACUGUAUAAACCACUAUGGAUUAAAGCACCAGAGAUAAGGCAAAUCGAUAUCGAAAUAACAGCCAGCAUAAGGGAUACAUAAACACAACUUCUAGUAUCUGUCACAGGACAACGAGAGCAGACAAAUAUCAGAAAGACGAUUUUUAGACGGGAGCAAAAGAGACAAAGAAAGGCACUGCCGCUUUAAAUAAACCUUCACAGCCUUCACACGAGUAUAACACACAUAACCUGUAUAAAUAUAUCCCCUUUCAUUUUAAUUUUCAGCCCUGCAAUCAAUACAGCGCUAAUGGGAAAUGCAUUAUCAAACAAUCAAAAAAUAUUGAAAGUUAAAGUGUUCGUUUUAUUUAUUUUUUCGGUUUCAACACGGACCAAAUAGAAAUUAUCUACAAAAUGACCAAAUACUAUGGUUUUAUAUUUAAAAAAAAUAUAUUUACAUAACACAUGGUAGUUAAUGAGAAAGUGUUUAUGGUUACCAGCCACAGAAUAUCAUGAAAAAUAUAUAAAAUAAGAGAAUUACGAUCAGAUCAUCCGGCCAUUCUUACUGGUGAGUGGAAUUACCAGGGGCGAGAGGAGCUUAAGGAACCACUUCCCAGAACCCUUUGCUGCAAGUAACGCACAGUGAUUAGUUCCUCUCUCGUCUCGCACAGAGAAGACAGAACGUCUCGGUAAUCCGCUCUCCAACCAUUCAUUUCAAACUCAAACCUCGUAACGCACUUUUUAAGGAACAGCAAAUGGAACCGACCCUUAAAAUCAGGGGGUGUCGGACUGCAGACCCCAAGAUGUUUGUGGACCCAAAAGUCAGUAUUUGGCAAAGGAUUAUGGAAAUUGCAGUCUAAAUAUAUCAACACCCGGUGCUUAACAUAACCUGUGUUAAAAAGAACAGUCGCUGCCUUUAGCAAAGAUAGGAGUUACGGGAUGGACAGAGAAGGGAAUGGAUUUAUGGGGGUCUGUACCCGGAUUACUCAAUAAAUGUAUUAAUGGGGGUCCGUACCCGUGUAAUUCAAUAAAUGGAUUAAUGGGGGUCCGUACCAGUGUUAUUAAAUAAAUGGAUUAAUGAGGGUCCGUACCCGGGUUACUCAAUGAAUGAAUUUAUGGUGGUCUGUACCCGGGUUACUGAAUGAAUGGAUUAAUGGGGGUCCGUACCUGUGUUAUUAAAUAAAUGGAUUAAUGGGGGUCCGUACCAGUGUUAUUCGGUAAAUGGAUUAAUGGGGGUCCAUACCCGGGUUACUCAAUUAAUGGAUUAAUGGGGGUCCGUACCCAGGUUACUCAAUAAAUGGAUUAAUGGGGGUCCGUACCCGGGUUACUCAAUGAAUGGAUUUAUGGGGGUCCAUACCCAGGUUACUCAAUGAAUGGAUUUAUGGGGGUCCGUACCCAGGUUACUCAAUGAAUGGAUUUAUGGGGGUCCGUACCCGGGUUACUCAAUGAAUGGAUUUAUGGGGGUCCGUACCCAGGUUACUCAAUGAAUGGAUUUAUGGGGGUCCGUACCCAGGUUACUCAAUAAAUGGAUUUAUGGGGGUUUGUACCCGGGUUACUCAAUGAAUGGAUUUAUGGGGGUCCGUACCCGGUUACUCAAUGAAUGGAUUUAUGGGGGUCGGUACCCUGGUUACUCAAUGAAUGGAUUUAUGGGGGUCCGUACCCAGGUUACUCAAUGAAUGGAUUUAUGGGGGUCCGUACCCGGGUUACUCAAUAAAUGGAUUUAUGGGGGUUUGUACCCAGGUUACUCAAUGAAUGGAUUUAUGGGGGUCCGUACCCGGUUACUCAAUGAAUGGAUUUAUGGGGGUCGGUACCCAGGUUACUCAAUGAAUGGAUUUAUGGGGGUCUGUACCCAGGUUACUCAAUGAAUGGAUUUAUGGGGGUCCGUACCCAGGUUACUCAAUGAAUGGAUUUAUGGGGGUUUGUACCCGGGUUACUCAAUGAAUGGAUUUAUGGGGGUCCGUACCC
rnacentral:lncRNA from 1 species